rnacentral:tRNA from 1 species
GCAUCGGUGGUUCAGCGGUAGAAUGCUCGCCUGCCACGCGGGCGGCCCAGGUUCGAUUCCCGGCCGAUGCA